AUACGUAGGUGACAAGCGUUAUCCGGAUUUACUGGGCGUAAAGGGCGUGUAGGCGGUCUUGCAAGUCAGAAGUGAAAUUCCUGAGUUCAACUCGGGCGCUGCUUCUGAAACUGCAGGACUUGAGUGCUGGAGGGGAUAGCGGAAUUCCUAGUGGAGCGGUAAAAUGCGCAGAUAUUAGGAAGAACACCGGUGGCGAAGGCGGCUAUCUGGACAGUAACGGACGCUGAGGCACGAAAGCGUGGGGAGCAAACAGGAUUAGAUACCCGGGUAGUCCACGCCGUAAACGAUGAAUACUAGGUGUAGGGGGUAUCGACUCCCUCUGUGCCGCAGUUAACACAAUAAGUAUUCCGCCUGGGGAGUACGGCCGCAAGGUUGAAACUCAAAUGAAUUGACGGGG
rnacentral:rRNA from 1 species